CCUACGGGAGGCAGCAGUGAGGAAUAUUGGUCAAUGGACGAGAGUCUGAACCAGCCAAGUAGCGUGAAGGAUGACUGCCCUAUGGGUUGUAAACUUCUUUUAUAUGGGAAUAAAAUGUUCCACGUGUGGGAUUUUGUAUGUACCAUAUGAAUAAGGAUCGGCUAACUCCGUGCCAGCAGCCGCGGUAAUACGGAGGAUCCGAGCGUUAUCCGGAUUUAUGGGGUUUAAAGGGAGCGUAGGUGGAUGGUUAAGUCAGUUGUUAAAGUUUGCGGCUCAACCGUAAAAUUGCAGUUGAAACUGGCAGUCUUGAGUACAGUAGAGGUGGGCGGAAGUCGUGGUGUAGCGGGGAAAUGCUUAGAUAGCACGAAGAACUCCGAUUGCGAAGGCAGCUCACUGGACUGCAACUGACACUGAGGCUCGAAAGUGUGGGUAUCAAACAGGAUUAGAUACCCGAGUAGUC
rnacentral:rRNA from 1 species